rnacentral:rRNA from 1 species
UACGAAGGGGGCUAGCGUUGCUCGGAAUCACUGGGCGUAAAGCGCACGUAGGCGGGUCUUUAAGUCAGGGGUGAAAUCCUGGAGCUCAACUCCAGAACUGCCUUUGAUACUGAGGAUCUCGAGUCCGGGAGAGGUGAGUGGAACUCCGAGUGUAGAGGUGAAAUUCGUAGAUAUUCGGAAGAACACCAGUGGCGAAGGCGGCUCGCUGGCCCGGUACUGACGCUGAUGUGCGAAAGCGUGGGGAGCAAACAGG